rnacentral:rRNA from 1 species
UUAUCGGAGAGUUUGAUCCUGGCUCAGGACGAACGCUGGCGGCGUGCCUAAUACAUGCAAGUCGAGCGGACAGAUGGGAGCUUGCUCCCUGAUGUUAGCGGCGGACGGGUGAGUAACACGUGGGUAACCUGCCUGUAAGACUGGGAUAACUCCGGGAAACCGGGGCUAAUACCGGAUGGUUGUUCGAACCGCAUGGUUCAAACAUAAAAGGUGGCUUCGGCUACCACUUACAGAUGGACCCGCGGCGCAUUAGCUAGUUGGUGAGGUAACGGCUCACCAAGGCAACGAUGCGUAGCCGACCUGAGAGGGUGAUCUACCACACUGGGACUGAGACACUACCCAGACUCCUACGGGAGGCAGCAGUAGGGAAUCUUCCGCAAUGGACGAAAGUCUGACGGAGCAACGCCGCGUGAGUGAUGAAGGUUUUCGGAUCGUAAAGCUCUGUUGUUAGGGAAGAACAAGUACCGUUCGAAUAGGGCGGUACCUUGACGGUACCUAACCAGAAAGCCACGGCUAACUACGUGCCAGCAGCCGCGGUAAUACGUAGGUGGCAAGCGUUGUCCGGAAUUAUUGGGCGUAAAGGGCUCGCAGGCGGUUUCUUAAGUCUGAUGUGAAAGCCCCCGGCUCAACCGGGGAGGGUCAUUGGAAACUGGGGAACUUGAGUGCAGAAGAGGAGAGUGGAAUUCCACGUGUAGCGGUGAAAUGCGUAGAGAUGUGGAGGAACACCAGUGGCGAAGGCGACUCUCUGGUCUGUAACUGACGCUGAGGAGCGAAAGCGUGGGGAGCGAACAGGAUUAGAUACCCUGGUAGUCCACGCCGUAAACGAUGAGUGCUAAGUGUUAGGGGGUUUCCGCCCCUUAGUGCUGCAGCUAACGCAUUAAGCACUCCGCCUGGGGAGUACGGUCGCAAGACUGAAACUCAAAGGAAUUGACGGGGGGCCCGCACAAGCGGUGGAGCAUGUGGUUUAAUUCGAAGCAACGCGAAGAACCUUACCAGGUCUUGACAUCCUCUGACAAUCCUAGAGAUAGGACGUCCCCUUCGGGGGCAGAGUGACAGGUGGUGCAUGGUUGUCGUCAGCUCGUGUCGUGAGAUGUUGGGUUAAGUCCCGCAACGAGCGCAACCCUUGAUCUUAGUUGCCAGCAUUCAGUUGGGCACUCUAAGGUGACUGCCGGUGACAAACCGGAGGAAGGUGGGGAUGACGUCAAAUCAUCAUGCCCCUUAUGACCUGGGCUACACACGUGCUACAAUGGACAGAACAAAGGGCAGCGAAACCGCGAGGUUAAGCCAAUCCCACAAAUCUGUUCUCAGUUCGGAUCGCAGUCUGCAACUCGACUGCGUGAAGCUGGAAUCGCUAGUAAUCGCGGAUCAGCAUGCCGCGGUGAAUACGUUCCCGGGCCUUGUACACACCGCCCGUCACACCACGAGAGUUUGUAACACCCGAAGUCGGUGAGGUAACCUUUUAGGAGCCAGCCGCCGAAGGUGGGACAGAUGAUUGGGGUGAAGUCGUAACAAGGUAGCCGUAUCGGAAGGUGCGGCUGGAUCACCUCCUUU